GGUUAUGGCUCAGUAGUAGAGCACUUGCCUAGCAUGCAUGAGGAACUGGGUUCAAUCCCCAGCACCA
rnacentral:tRNA from 1 species